AGAGCGAACGCUGGCGGCAGGCCUAACACAUGCAAGUCGAGCGCCCCGCAAGGGGAGCGGCAGACGGGAGAGUAACACGUGGGAACGUACCCUUCAGUUCGGAACAACCCAGGGAAACUUGGGCUAAUACCGAAUACGUCCGUAAGGAGAAAGAUUUAUCGCUGAAGGAUCGGCCCGCGUCUGAUUAGCUAGUUGGUGAGGUAACGGCUCACCAAGGCUACGAUCAGUAGCUGGUCUGAGAGGAUGAUCAGCCUCACUGGGACUGAGACACGGCCCAGACUCCUACGGGAGGCAGCAGUGGGAAUAUUGGACAAUGGGCGCAAGCCUGAUCCAGCCAUGCCGCGUGGAUGAUGAAGGCCUUAGGGUUGUAAAGUCCGUUUCGGACGGGGAAGAUAAUGACGGUACCCGUAGAAGAACGCCCGGCUAACUUCGUGCCAGCAGCCGC
rnacentral:rRNA from 1 species